GCCCGGGAACUACGAGCAAAGCUUAAAACCCAAAGGACUUGACGGUGCCCCAUAUCCCCCUAGAGGAGCCUGUCCUAUAAUCGAUGAUCCCCGUUCAACCUCACCACUUCUAGCUUAUCAGCCUGUAUACUUCCGUCGUAAGUUUACCACGUGAGCGAUAACUCAGUAAGUCUAACGUCCUACACACUUAUUUUACCGACAAUACGUCAGGUCAAAGUGCAGCAAAUGAAGUGGGAAGAGAUUGGCUACACUUUUUAACAUAAAAGAAAACGAAAGACAAUAAUGAAACUUUGUCCGAAGGCGGAUUUAGCAGUAAAAAAAAUUCAAAACAUUUAUUUUAACCUAGCACUGGGGUGUGU
rnacentral:rRNA from 1 species